rnacentral:rRNA from 1 species
CUCGUAGGUGGCCAACUAAGUCGGACGUGAAAUCCCCAGGCUCAACUUGGGAACUGCGUCCGAUACUGGAUGGCUUGAAUUCGGGAGAGGGAUGCAGAAUUCCAGGUGUAGCGGUGAAAUGCGUAGAUAUCUGGAGGAAUACCGGUGGCGAAGGCGGCAUCCUGGACCGAUAUUGACACUGAUGAGCGAAAGCCAGGGGAGCAAACG